rnacentral:tRNA from 1 species
GUGGCUUUAGCUCAGUUGGUUAGAGCAUCAGAUUGUGGAUCUGAGGGUCGAGGGUUCAAAUCCCUCAAGCCACCCCA